rnacentral:rRNA from 1 species
GGGCCCGCACAAGCGGUGGAGUAUGUGGUUUAAUUCGAUGCAACGCGAAGAACCUUACCAGGGUUUGACAUCCUGCGAAUCUCUUGGAAACUUGAGAGUGCCUUCGGGAGCGCAGUGACAGGUGGUGCAUGGCUGUCGUCAGCUCGUGUCGUGAGAUGUUGGGUUAAGUCCCGCAACGAGCGCAACCCUUGUCCUUAUUUGCCAGCACGUAAUGAUGGGAACUCUAACGGGACUGCCGGUGCAAACCGCGAGGAAGGUGGGGAUGACGUCAAAUCAUCACGGCCCUUACGUCCUGGGCUACACACGUGCUACAAUGGCCGGUACAGAGGGCAGCCACACCGCAAGGUGGAGCGAAUCCUUAAAACCGGUCUCAGUUCGGAUCGGGGUCUGCAACUCGGCCCCGUGAAGCUGGAAUC